rnacentral:lncRNA from 1 species
CUGGCCGUCAUAACGUUCCUAACGAAAAGAACUGCAGCCGCUGUUUGCGCACCAGAGCGGGGGGCGGGCCGCCUGCUGCUGCUGUUUUCCUUGGGUCCAGAAGGGCGGACACAGCCUCUCUCUGACACGCCCUCGUGCAGCAGCGGACAGGCCAUCGUGUCUUGUGAGCCCGGGGGGAGGUCCUGGAGGACCUUUGCUGGAGGGAGUGCUGCGGCCGUUUCCCAAGGCACUCCAAUGCCUCAAAGAUGAAAUGUUGCUUUUCCUCCUUUCUUGUGAGGCGCACUGAGAUGAUGUCUUUGUGUCCCAGAAAGUAAACGAGACCAAGUGAGAGCGGUAGGAGCAGGCCCUCCGGAAUCGCGGAGGGUGGAAUUCCUUCCGAGGAGGGUGAGCCACGCUCUUGUGCGGGCGUCGGGGGGCAGGUGGGUUCACGUCCUUUGUGUUUGGUGAGGACUAACAAGGAAAACAGCCAGACCUCCGGGUGGUGUGGAUCCCCGGAAGGACCCGGUGACUGCGGAGGAGCGGGUGCUGGAACCAGCCUGGGAGCCGCUAGGCCUUGGCGUGGGAAUCGCAGCGUUGAGCCCUGAGCGACCAGGAGGCGCCCUCGCCUCUGAAAACCAGCAGGUGCAGGCAGGACCUGGGGCCGCGCCUGGAUCCAGGUCUCCGCGACGCGACAGCACCUCCUGGUGGCCGCGAGGAGGAAUGAGCGAAGUUCAGCGAGCCAGGGACGCCCCGCGGGAGGAGGCGGGGCUGCCCUCCUUCCCUUGGCCUUUGCGCAGCAGUCAGCGCCAGAGUCAGAAGGGAUUACCUCCCGCUGAGGACACAAGCCGCCCGGUGCUUGGCUCUCUGAGACGCACUCCCCAAAGCUCCCUUCCUUCGUGAGCAUUUUCAUUCCAGAAAGAGGGACACAGAGCAGUAACCCCAAGGACCACCGCAGUCAGUCCUAGACUGUCUGAUACCAACUCGGAUGAUCUUGGAAAGCGUCCCUAAGUGAAGAAGAAUGAAGACUUUCAGUUUUAUCCACGGCCCUAUGCGUGCCUAAGGGAGGCCAUGGUUCUGGGGGCACCAGCCUGCUGUGGCCCCCUUUGCCCAGCAAAGUCAUAAGGCUACGCUUUUUUCUCCUUCACCCCAGACUCUAUCUCCAUGUUUCUCUUCAGCACUGGUGAACAGAGGCUGAGUUUUGGCAACACUGGACCAGCCCACACCACUCAAGGAAACACCUUUACCUGUUCAUUAAAGGAUAUGAUAAAGGAUACGGAUGAACAGUCAGAUGGGGACACAGGAACAUCCAUCCCUGAGAAGUUGGGGUGCGUCGCCCCUCAUGCACGUGGUCACCCCUUGAGAGCUCUCUGAACCCCAGACUCUUGGGAGGCUUCCUCACGCAGGGGUCAAUCAUUACUUCCACUUUUGGCCCUUCUCCCUUCUCAAGAGAGUGGGACGAGGCGGAAGGGUCCGAGGUUCUAAUCAGGGCUCGGUCUUUGCGGGGGUCAGCCCUCCUCCAGGAGCCACCACGGUCACCUCUUUAGAAUAAGACACUCCUUCACCCAGGAAAUCAUAAGGGGCUCAUGAUUCUGCAUCAGGAACUGGGGUCAAAGACCAAACAUUAGAACAAAAGGUCCUCCCAGCGUUCUUAUCACUCAGGGAAUUACCAGGGUUCCAGGAGCCCUGUGCCGGGAGCCAGCAGCAGAUACCAAGUUACGCUCUCUCCCUAUUAUCUCACAGUAUCUCCCUGGUGUCUUGAGACUGGGGUCCGUGUCCCCUACCCUCACAUCACAGACCUUAGUGUAGCUCCUAGCCCAUGGGGGGCGCUCAGUACAAGUGUGGAAUGAAUGAAAUAAUUAGUCGGCACAGCAGUUGGCACAUCCUGGCUGCCAUUUCAUGAAGGCUCGGUGGUUCAGGCAAUAAAGUUAUUAAAGCUGAUUGGAAUUCCCA